UCUGCUCUUUCCUCUCUGUAGUGCAGACAGACCGUCACCAUGAUCCUCGCUGUCUGUUUGGUAUCACUAUGUCUCACAGGGUUGGGUCUAGGUACCAGAGUGGUCCAGACUCCUGCUGCCUUGGUAAUGACCCCAGGAGACUCCGCUGAUCUCCACUGUUCUCACACUAUAAAAGACUAUGAUGUUAUCCUCUGGUACAGACAGUCUCAUUCUCAGAACAGACAGCUACAGCUGCUGGGGUACCUUUACACAGACAACAAAAACCCAGAAUCUAGUUUCAAGGACAAAAUUAAAGGAGACAAACGAUGUGACACUGGAAGUGAGGCCUACUUUGGGAAUGGAACCAAACUCACUGUUUUAGAUCCAAACAUCAGCGUCACUGAACCCACAGUGAAAGUCCUUCCACCCUCCACUAAGGAGUGUGAAGACAGAAACAAGAAGAAGAAGAAGACCCUGGUGUGUGUGGUCACCCACUUCUACCCCGACCACGUCACGGUCUACUGGCAAGUCAACAAUGUCAACACAACUGCAGGCGCGCGGACCGACAACAAGGCUUGUGGGAUAAAGAUAGUUUAUACAGUAUCACCAGCAACUGAGAGUCCCAGCCAAUGACUGGCACAACCAAGAACAGUUUCACCUGCAAUGUCAUUUUUUACAAUGGGACUGGAAAUACAACUGCGAAACACACCAUUAGUGGAGAUCUCCAUGGUCAAAUUGGGGGAGAGAUAACGACAGAUGACUAUGUGAAGAGCACCCAGACUGCCAAGCUGGCCUACAGCAUCUUCAUCGCUAAGAGUACCUUCUACGGCCUGGUCGUCAUGGUUAUGAUUUGGAAGUUCCAGACACAAUACUGGCUCCUCAGAGAAACAGAUUUAACGGAAUACAAGUGGCCCAAGGAGGAUGUCCUGCAUGGAUCCAAACAUCAACUCACUGAACCCACAGUGAAAGUCCUAGCACCUCCACUAAGGAGUGUGAAGACAGAAACAAGAAGAAGAAGAAGACCCUGGUGUGUGUGGUCACCCACUUCUACCCCGACCACGUCACGGUCUACUGGCAAGUCAACAAUGUCAACACAACUGCAGCGCCGGGACCGACAACAAGGCCUUGUGGGAUAAAGAUAGUUUAUACAGUAUCACCAGCAGACUGAGAGUCCCAGCCAAUGACUGGCACAACCCAAAGAACAGUUUCACCUGCAAUGUCAUCUUUUACAAUGGGACUGGAAAUACAACUGCGAAAACACACAUUAGUGGAGAUCUCCAUGGUCAAAUUGGGGGAGAGAUAACGACAGAUGACUAUGUGAAGAGCACCCAGACUGCCAAGCUGGCCUACAGCAUCUUCAUCGCUAAGAGUACCUUCUACGGCCUGGUCGUCAUGGUUAUGAUUUGGAAGUUCCAGGGCUCCUCAGAGAAACAGAUUUAACGGAAUACAAGUGGCCCAAGGAGGAUGUCCUGCAUGGGUGUUCCAUGGGAUCAAGGACGGACUGGCAAAAGGGCAAUUCUGGCAAAUACCAGACGGACUGAUUCAUAUUUAGCCCAGUGGGCCUGUCUAAAUUGGCUUUAGUAAAGACGGCUUUAAGGAAAAACAUGGGCAGGUGUGUUAGAAAGSCCUGGGCCGGUUUCUGGUCCCAGUUUGCCCCUGCAUGUAAUUGUAUUGUCCAUUGUGCUUAUUGUGUCCAUCYUCUCUUUAUUACCCUGUCUAUGUGAAGAUGUGCUUUUAAGAAUCUCCUUUGAACAUGAACUUGCAAUUUAAAUGUAUAUUUGAAUAAAUUCAGCCAAAACAAUCUUUCCAUUAARUUACAAAACCAWUGUAUGUUUGUUUUUCCAGUAAUUACAGUAUAGUAUGUAUGAAUACAUUCUGCUUUCUAAUUUCUACAUGUUAAUUUGUGAAUAAUYAACUGUAUAUAAUUAGAGACAGAUCGAAAUGUACCUCUCCACAGUUAAAUAUUUUCACGACCCUCCACCUCAUAGAAUUAACUCAAUCUAAUGUUUACGYCCACAAAUAACCAGAACUGUAGCGACCCUGUUUUUAUAAASGUGGAUAUCGACGUCGCCGCUUCAGCAAGCUUUUCUGGCACAGUUGAUGCCACGCAGGGCUUUGGGCCAGAAGMUUGAGGGUUCACCGACCACCACGGACGAGCUCACUCUCCCUGCCRGUUUCAUCACAUUACGAUCAGAGACUGAGGCAGACCAAGAUCAGCUAGGGGGAAAUCAGAUUUUCAACAUUUUGAUGCCAUAUUUAUAUAAAAUAUAUGCAACAAAUUUUCCACCGARAGGUUUAACAACCAAUCAYCAAAGCAUACCAAUUUCUGGCACUUUAAAAUCAUGGUUUGUGUUUUGAACAAACAGAAAAUACAUCCCUCCCUACCUUGUAGACUUACCCAGUAUUGAAGGCUUGGCUUGACAAUCUCUUAGUGUCAUUAAACUUUAUGGUGUUUUG